GAAUGCGAUAUCGACUCGAAGAGAAUCCAGACAGAUAUAAGUUGUCGUUGAUUACCGCCACCAAUUACAGACGGCUGGCUGGGUUAGUAGCGAAUGAUAUUGACCGAAACCUAUCGAACACGAUCCUAUGUCUGGUGUGGUUGAGCUACAAGUGCACAGUGCACUUUUCAUUGGCCCAUCGAUUUUCGGUUUCUUGGCCGCAAUCAUAGUCUAACGCAAUGACAGACAGUAGUUAGUUGUACAUACAUAUGUUUAUAUAAUGUAUGGGUAUAUUUUUGAUAGCAACAUGUAUUUCGAUAUUGUUUUGAGUUUUUGGUUGCACUCUUAGUUUGGCAUUAGCGGGUAAAUGAAUACCGGUUUGAGGUUUGUAGCCAGACAUUUGAGAAUUGUGAGUGCGGUUAUAAUUUGGCUUUGCGUUUCAGUUUCUGCUACAGACAUUCUUAAAAAGGAACACACACACGCACCAAAUGUAAGUUCAAAACUAAUAAUGCUUACAAAUUUCCAAGACGCUUAAAUAGCAACCUACGAACGAAAUUUUGCCAGAUUUCGUUGUUUGUUCUGGUUGGGAAAUAAACAACGUUCAUUACGGAAAUUCUACAUACACUAAGUCUGUUUGAUGUAAACAUUUCAACAUCAUAUAUCUUAGUUGGACGAAGUUAAGUGAGAACCCACAAUGUCAAAUUACAGUCAGUUGACUACAAAUUUGGGCCUAAACUCUGAAAAUUCCAAACAUAGGAGAACAUUUGGAGUCGAUCUAGCGAUGUUCGUCCUUCUGCCCGUCUGUCUGGCUGACUGGUGCGCACGAUAACUCUUGAAGGGAGUAUCCGAUUUGGUCCAUUUUUGUCAAACUUAGAUCGAGUUCGGAGAUGAGCAAUAUCGGUUCACUCCUUCUGGUACCUCCCUCACAAAAGGCCGAAAUUUUCAAAAAAAAAAAAAAAACAUAUUUUCUGGACAGAAAGAGAAACGUUAAACCAAUUUUACCCCAACUUUGCAAAUCCUAAUAUUUGCGUCAGUGCUAGGUCAGGUGCGAAAAUGGACAAUACAGUAGACCCACUCUAUGAAGUACCUCCCCCACAAAGGGUAAAUAUUUUGAAUAACUACAACUCUUAUAAAGUGUGAUGUGACAAUAUCGGUCAACUCCAUCAGUGCCUCUCCCACAAAGGGCCAAAAUUGUGAAUAAUUACAACUCUAAUAAAAUAUGAUGUAAAAGUCCGAUUGUCUUCAAAUUUCCCACAUCAUAAUAUUUUUAUGAACCCGUGAUCUGGUAUUAAGAAUAAUAGAAUUAAGGAAUAAAAGGUCGAAAUUUUGAAUAUCCAUUAAGCUCAUAAAAAGCGAAAUUAACAUCCGA